rnacentral:sRNA from 2 species
CACGUUGUCAUUGGGGAGUAGCCAGCCUCGUCCCCUGAGGCGUUCGCAUCAACACACUUGGUCGCUGCUGUUUCGGGCGCCAUGGUGCGAACAGCAGGCAGUCACCGUCAGGUGGCGGCCAUGCCCGGCGAGACCU